rnacentral:rRNA from 1 species
AUGUAGACUGUGUUGUAGCUGGCCUUCGGGCAUGUGCACGCCGGUUUACAAUUGUUCUCCAUCCACCUGUGCACUUUAUGUAGGCUCACAGUCGUUAUUCACCUGAAAAUGGUGGUUUUGAAAGCAUUAUUGUUUUCAAGCGAAUGUGGUCUAUGUUUUAUACACUCGUUGAAUGUCUUAGAAUGUCAUGUUAUAUUCAAAUAUAAAUAUAACUUUCAGCAACGGAUCUCUUGGCUCUCGCAUCGAUGAAGAACGCAGCGAAAUGCGAUAAGUAAUGUGAAUUGCAGAAUUCAGUGAAUCAUCGAAUCUUUGAACGCACCUUGCGCUCCUUGGUAUUCCGAGGAGCAUGCCUGUUUGAGUGUCAUUAAAUUCUCAACCUUUCCAUUUUGUAAUGAAAUGUUGAAAGGCUUGGAUUGUGGAGGUUUUGCGGGCUCUUGUAGUCGGCUCCUCUGAAAUGCAUUAGCGGAGACUUGUAGGCUUUCUCCUUGGUGUGAUAAUUAUCUACGCCUUGGUUGUUUACAUUAUACUCUGCUCUCUAAUCGUCUUGUAACGAGACAAUUAUCAUAUCUUGACCUCAAAUCAGGUAGGACUACCCGCUGAACUUAAGCAUAUCAAUAAGGCGGAGGAA